CCUACGGGGGGCAGCAGUCGAGAAUUAUUCACAAUGGGGGAAACCCUGAUGGUGCGACGCCGCGUGGGGGAAUGAAGGUCUUCGGAUUGUAAACCCCUGUCAUGUGGGAGCAAAUUAAAAAGAUAGUACCACAAGAGGAAGAGACUGCUAACUCUGUGCCAGCAGCCGCGGUAAUACAGAGGUCUCAAGCGUUGUUCGGAAUCACUGGGCGUAAGGCGUGCGUAGGCUGUUUCGUAAGUCGUGUGUGAAAGGCGCGGGCUCAACCCGCGGACGGCACAUGAUACUGCGAGACUAGAGUAAUGGAGGGGGAACCGGAAUUCUCGGUGUAGCAGUGAAAUGCGUAGAUAUCGAGAGGAACACUCGUGGCGAAGGCGGGUUCCUGGACAUUAACUGACGCUGAGGCACGAAGGCCAGGGGAGCGAAAGGGAUUAGAUACCCUGGUAGUC
rnacentral:rRNA from 1 species